rnacentral:lncRNA from 1 species
ACAUUUGACAACAGCUCUUAUGGAUUAUCCAGGUCAAAUGAUGGAUCUGGGAGAGAAAUGAAUUUCCCUCCAUGCAUUCUGGAUCAGGAAAGAUAUUCCGGGAGCAGAGAGGUGUAAACUAAAGCUUUCUGCAAGGGAACUACAGUAGGAAAGCAGAAGGAAAUGCAGUGAGCCCCAAAAGCUUUACCAGCAUGUGAAGGGUGAUGUGUAAUCCAAGCAAUAAGAGAGAUAUAAACCUCUACAAGAGAGAAUCGGAUGAACAGAGUGGAAGUAGGAGAAAGUAUGGCAGAGGUCACCUGCAAUAUGUAAGAAGAAUGCUCCUUUGUCUAGUUUUGUUUGGACUAAACAACUGUUAAAUUUUAAUCAUGUUACUCCAAGUUCAUGGAUAAUACCACAAAAGACCCGCUCCACCUCUGAAAUUACUCAGUGCAAUUUAUGUUUUCAGAUUGCAAUAAACUACUGUAAAUUAUGGCUAUAGAGGACUAGGCAGUGAGUAUUGACUCAC